GAACGAACGCUGGCGGCAUGCCUAACACAUGCAAGUCGAACGAGACCUUCGGGUCUAGUGGCGCACGGGUGCGUAACGCGUGGGAACCUGCCCUUAGGUUCGGAAUAACUCCCCGAAAGGGGUGCUAAUACCGGAUAAUGUCUUCGGACCAAAGAUUUAUCGCCUUUGGAUGGGCCCGCGUUGGAUUAGCUAGUUGGUAGGGUAAAAGCCUACCAAGGCGACGAUCCAUAGCUGGUCUGAGAGGAUGAUCAGCCACACUGGGACUGAGACACGGCCCAGACUCCUACGGGAGGCAGCAGUGGGGAAUAUUGGACAAUGGGCGAAAGCCUGAUCCAGCAAUGCCGCGUGAGUGAUGAAGGCCUUAGGGUGGUAAAGCUCUUUUACCCGGGAUGAUAAUGACAGUACCGGGAGAAUAAGCUCCGGCUAACUCCGU
rnacentral:rRNA from 1 species